rnacentral:rRNA from 1 species
CAGUGUGGAAUCUUAGACAAUGGGGGCAACCCUGAUCUAGCCAUGCCGCGUGAGUGAUGAAGGCCUUAGGGUAGUAAAGCUCUUUCAGCUGGGAAGAUAAUGACGGUACCAGCAGAGAAACCCCGGCUAACUCCGUGCCAGCAGCCGCGGUAAUA